GUCGACUACGUGAGAGUCCAGUGACGUAACCAUUGCAUCAGCUGCUGGUCCCGGUUGUUCAGCUUGCUGAAGCUUCCAGAGUAACAACGUUUCUGUACAGAGAGCUGUGGACGUCAUGCUUGCCUCUUCCCAAGUGCGUCACGUCAGCCCCCGAGUCUGCGCAUGCUGGUGAGCAUUUGGACGGGGGAUACUUUGAGUGGCUUCCUCCUCUAGGAGUCUAAUUGACUGUGAUCCCAGGGCUGUCUCUCGCUUCACUGACACCCACUUACCAAAAUCUUCCAUCGAAUACAUCCAUUUUAAACCUCGUUACUAAGCAAUUGCCAAAGUGAAGGAAUUAGCAUCAAUUCACACAUAAAUCUGAAAAACAUAAAUAAACCAGAAGACACUGGAAAGGAAAAAUUCAUUCAUCUUUUCACUCUAGUCGUAGAGAUGAAAUAAGGGCUGUCUAGUUUUCCCAUGCAGGGUUCAGAGCUGGUUAACGCCAAGCACAUAGAGUAUUUGACGAGGCAAAUAUAAGGGAUCCAUUUAUCUGUAAUGGGAGAUAAGAUGAUCUGCUUUGGAGAUAAGACAUCCUAAACAGGUUCAUAGAUCUUUUAAAAUUUGGGCUAUAUGUUUGACCAAAUACAAAUUUGAAAUUGAAAUUAAUAUUCCCUAAUAUUUGCUCUGGCUUUCAGCUCUUUUGGAGAACUUUUGCAAACAUGAUCUUAUUUCAUCCUUCCAGUGUCAUGAGGUUGGUAGACUAGGAUCAUCUGAAAUGAGAAGACUCCUCUAUUACCACAUUUUUGGGGGCUCAUAAAUUAGGAAGACUCUACAUAAGACUUAAAUUUUGUUUUAAUUUGGAGUGUGGGGUUAGAGAGUAUUUGCACUGAAGGUUCAUGUAGCAAUAAUAUUUAAUAUGAAUAAAGCCAGAAUGAGUAGAAA